GCCUGGGCACAAAGGCAGCUUCUCACAGAUGGGAGAAUGAAAACAGCUAGGCCAAUGCUUUUUAAUGCAAAACUCUCAGCUGAGAGAAUAGCCAUUCAGAAGUGCCACAGAUGCUGUGCAGAAGAAGCGGCUAUUAGGUGCCUGGACUGUGUUCCACAUGGAGUUCCUCUGUGCAACCUGUGACAUGGAGGCCCACAAGAGGAAUAUCUUCCAUGACAGAGAGGCUGUGUUCAAUGGAUUUCUGGAGCCCAUUCCCCGACAACUGCUGUGGUGGUGGAUGAAAAUGGCCAGCCUCAGUUUUGUGAACAAAUAUGUCAACUGCCUGUUCCUACUCCAAGGUCAAUCUGUGAAUGCUCUGAUGACGUCACAGUGACUCCUUGGAAGCAUAUUUCUGUGGUCACCAUCAACGGACGAUACAAUGCCUGCUUGCCUCGGAAAUCCUGUCCAUCCUGCUCUGCAGAAUGGAGUCCUGAGGUUAAAGACCUGCUUUUGUAUCGGUACUGGCCAGCUAGCACCAGCUGCCAGACGCUUUACAAAUAUGAUGUGUUCACCUCAUUGGAGCACAUGAAGGUGACAGCACCAGCCGUGUCCAGGCAGGCAUUUCUGAAAAUGUUGGAGCACAGAUCUGUUCAAGCUGGACGGACAGGUAUUAUCUGUGCUGAUACAUUUCAGCGAAGCUUCUUCGAGUUUAGCUUCUGUCAGUACAAACAAGAGGAUAUGUGCCAGGUCCAUCACUUGGUUUGUCCAGCAUGUUCUCCAGACAUGUGGGCUGUCUGCUGGGAUGGAAACCGCAAGCAUUACCGCUUUUCCAAGUCAAAAGGGACUGAGGAGCCGCCAAUCUAUGAGGGCUUGUUCCUGGCCAAGGUCAACAUUUGUUGACCUUGUCAGAGGCAACAUGAAAAGUGGAAAUGACAGUGCCGUCUGUGGUACUGCCAAAUUCACCGCUGGCAGAGA